GUGAAUCAUCGAAUUUUUGAACGCAAAUUGCACUCUCCUCGGAGAGUAUGCCUGUUUGAGGGUCAGCCUAUAAAAAAUCGACUUCUUUGCUGUUUCGCGUUGACUUUCGUCGGAAAUUGGGUCAUCUUAAUUCCUUUUGUUUUUAAGCGUCUUAAAAUUUUCUUGUUUGUUUCAUGAACUCUUCGAAGAUUUAUUUCUUUACACUUUGAAGUGUAUCUUUUUUUAUUGUGAGUGUC
rnacentral:misc_RNA from 1 species